CGGCGGACGGGUGAGUAAUGCCUAGGAAUCUGCCUGGUAGUGGGGGAUAACGUCCGGAAACGGGCGCUAAUACCGCAUACGUCCUGAGGGAGAAAAGUGGGGGGUCUUCGGACCUCACGCUAUCAGAUGAGCCUAGGUCGGAUUAGCUAGUUGGUGGGGUAAAGGCCUACCAAGGCGACGAUCCGUAACUGGUCUGAGAGGAUGAUCAGUCACACUGGAACUGAGACACGGUCCAG
rnacentral:rRNA from 1 species